CCCACUCACGAAACUUCCUUCGUGCAGCUGCGACUGGUUCUUUCUAAAAAGAUGGAGACCGACGGAGUUAGCCCACAGACAAACUGGGACUCUGACAGCCCCGUAGGGGCAGCACUUUUACUUGUUAUUGGGGAACCAGUUACAGAUGAUCACCAAAAUGUCAUUUUAGGAGAAAUUACGAAAGGAUUCCGUUGUUGGGAUGAAGAACAGACGGGGAUUGACAUUAACGAUGAGUUGGCGAGGAUUGCAAACCGAGCCUCAAUGGGCGAGGAAGGACCCAAUGUUAUCGUCACUGGACCUGACCCGUCAGAAAGCUGCAAUGAGAGGACAAUUCAACACCGAUCUGAGAAGAUUGCCAUGGAGAUAUUGGUCAACCCCCGACUGCAGACCUUGCAACAGUCCCUCCGAACCUUCCUGAUGAUGCCAGCUGAUAACCGACACCUUAUUUAUGCUGGCCACUACUUCGCCGGUAGUGGAUCGUGGGUCCUACAGGACGACUGCUUCACCGUGUCCCAGCUGGGGCGUCUCUGUAAAGACAGCGACAUUGAGGCGGCUUUGAAACAACAGGACGGUGGCAAGAUGACGAUAUACUGCAAUGCAGGAGGGGAAUGGAAAAACUCAAGCAUCAAUAAACUAGACGUAAGCAAAAGUCUCACCCUGGAAUUAAAUCCUGAGGAGAAGUUAUCCGACAUCAAUGGCGUGUUACAGUUCAGCACGUACAUCAGUAGCUUCAUACACGCCAAGACCAUUCAACAGUUAAUGCGUACUUCUGAUGUUGUUGGUAACAUCCGAUUCAGCAAGCCUACUCUAUACAUAUUCCCCGCCUGUGAAGGUGAUUCUGCCAUGUUUGGUAUCAGUGGGUUUAACCUUCUAGUCAAUGGCGGAUACAGCAGGAAGUCAUGUUUCUGGGACUUUGCCCGCCAUCUUGAUCGUAUUGAUGCUGUACUUAUGACUCAUCUCGGUGCUGAUAAUAUCUUUGGUAUAAGUUCUGUUCUGAAGAGGAAGAGCAUGGAAACCAUCCAUCCCGACAUCGGCUUUAUGUACUUAAAUGCUUCUGACAAGGCAGGUGAUGCUGAGGUCAAUGGUUUAAAUGGCAAGGAACUGAACCUUGCUAUUAAUUUAGCAGAAGAGGGAAGCAAAUUACUGGAAUUUUCAAAGAACCUUAUUUCCACUCCUCAGCCCUGUUCCCGGUUGGGUACUAACCCUACCGUCACGCCUGUGAACCUGUAUCACAAGGUCGGCCAUGGUUCCCUGGACAUGUACAUACUUAACCCUGUCACUGACAGCAAGGAGCUUAAGGACUUCUAUCAACAAUGGAACAAGCAGGUGAUGGAGUUUGGCUCCACCCAGAAUGUGCCACUUCCGAACAUGUUAUCAAUAUGCUGCCUACUAGUGUGGCAGCCAGCGGAUCCUGAUGCUGAUAUCAACCGUCUUUUCUUCCCUGGAAAUGCUCCUCAACACAAGAUUAUUGAGGGAUUGGAAAAAUUGAAACAUUUAAAAUUCUUAAAAAAACCAACAUGCACUCCAAAAGAUCUGGAAGCUAAGCCUGCUCCGAAAAAACCCAGUGGACCAGCAGGUCGUCCAGCAUCAGCUAAAACAGCCCCAAAAGCAACACCUGAAAAGAAACCUGAGAAUAAACCUGCCUAUAAACCUGCUGCAACCAGCAAAUCAAACAAAGUCUCUAAGGAGGAUGAGAACAAGAAGAAGGCAGAGGACAAGACAGGCAAGUCUAGGCCCUCCCUUCUCAACAAAACAGCACCAAAGCCUGCUAAACCCGAUUUGUCUGCUACCAAGAAACCAACGAGCACAACACCAAAGAAACCUUCUCCUACUGAGGCUAAAAAGAAACCAAUGUCAACACAAUCACCAAGACCUUCAGCUAAAAAGGAAGCGGAGAAAUCUACACCAAGCAAACAGAAAACGCCAUCCCCAGAGCGAAAGCCCCAAACUCCAGUAGCAAGUGUGGCUCCAGUCAUUGCUCCACAGGAACCGCUUGUGGAACCUGUUUUGGAAGUGGCACCCUCUCAGCCUGCUGUUGAUCUGUUGUCGGGGACCCAGGCAUCACUCAUAGAUAUAACCCCUGAAGAACCACUCAAUAACAUGACUGACACACUCGUACCCAAACAAGAACCCUUGGUGGAAUCCGAGAAGAAAUCUGAGUCACCAGAUCCUCUUCCCGACCCAAAUCAAUUUGAAGUUGCUGCUAACCAGGGUGAGAGCUCCUUGAUGUACGGCUCAUUUCACCAAGAUCUUCAGAAUGACAUACUGGCCCCUGAAGAUGUCUCUAUGGAGAAUGGAGGCCAUGACUACGAAACUGACCUAGUACAGCCAGAGUCCCUACCAGAACCUGUGGCAUACUCACCCCAAGAACCUGACCUUAUACCAGAAAUGUCCCCAGUUACCAAGGAACCUCUCUGCCCUGUAGACCCCCAGUCUCCAGUGAGGGAUAUUCCAGCAGAACCAGAUGUUGUACCAUCAUUCAGAGCUGAACCUGAUGUACAACAGUCAGUUCAGGAACUUGACAGGCCAGUCUCACUAGAUACUGCCCAGGACCAGGUUCUCAGUGAUCCUCCAAGCACAGAAUCUCCUGGAACAGAGGAGACAGACAUCAUACCACAACCAAAGGAUAACUUGGACCUCUAUGCUACAAAUUACAAAAUGGAGGAGGAUGCUCAAAUGGAGGAAAUGAAGCAAAGGUCUCCAGUUGAUGAGAUUAAUGAACCAUAUUUUCAAAAACAGGAAGAUGUCAUGCCAGAAAUACAUGAAGAAUUGAAAUCUGAAGAUUCUCAGGAUAAUAUGCCAGAAGAACAAGAUGAAGAUUUUAUAGAACAGGAGCCGAAAGUACAAGAGGAAGUGAAAUCUGAAGAUCUUCAGGAUAAUAGGCCGGAAGAACAAGAUGAAGAUUUUAUAGAACAGGAGCCGAAAGUACAAGAGGAAGUGAAAUCUGAAGAUCUUCAGGAUAGUAGGCGGGAAGAACACGAGGAAGAGGUUAAAGAACAGGUGGUUGGGACACAGGAAAUGUUACCAUCCCCAGUGGAGCCAGAACAACCACAAGAGAAGGCUGACAUUUCUGACCACGCUCUGGACGAGGUGGAGGAAGAGGAUGAUGGAGAUAUUUCACCAGAUGAAAUGGACAGCCAGGGCGAUGUCAGAGAAACAGUUCUUCCUGAAGACAACCCUCCAGAGGAUGUUUCUCCAUAUGCAUUUGAGAACAAAGGCUUUACAGAGGGGUCUGCUGACGAUAUUGGAGAUGAACCCUCAACAGAACCUGUGGAAGACAUUCAGUCUGAUGAUGGGCAACAGUGUGUUGAUGCAUUUGAAAAAGACGAGGACAUCAAAGGUGAUGCGAAGGAGUUUGAGGAGGUGGAAGGUGAACAAGAUGGAAGAGCUAUGUCACAUGAUGAUGUUCAGGUUAUAGAUGAUUCCUUGGAAGAAACCCAGCACCAGAAUGGAGACUAUUUGGAAGUAUCAAACAUUCCUGAAGCCUUUGAGAAAGACGAAACACCCGAUCCAGUGGAUCUGAAAUCCGAGGACUCCCAAGAGGAAGAUGAAGGACUUCCAGAACAAGAAAAUGUAGAAAGUGAUGCCUACCAUGCUGAUGGUUACAGUUCCUUUAUAGGUCUGCAAGACAAGCCUGCUGUACCUAGUACAGAUCCCAGCUUUAAUCCAUUUACGAGUAUUAAUGAGGGUUCUCAACAGCAGGCCAGCCCAACAGAUGGAGCUGCUGCAGCAUUUGAUCCGUUCUUCUCUGCCGGUGUUAACACACAAAGUACUAACCCCUUCAGCUGUUCUGGUCAGCCAUUAGAUAGCUACCAAGGGGAGGCAAAUGGACAGACCUUUGAUCCCAAAGAGUGGGGUGAACCCAUGGGUCUGCCUGCUCCCCCUCCACCUGAGGGAUCUCCUGGGCCAACAGCUAACGGUAAAGCUACAGAGAAGGGUACACAGAAAGCCAAACCUGGAGCAACUAAGAGACCAGAAUCUGCCAAGUUAAACAAGUCAAAGAUAGGAGAUAAACCAGAGAAGAAUGUUCCACCUUCAUCUGCCAGAAAUGCAAAGACAAAUGGUGUGAAAUCCACAACCACCAAGGCCCGCCCAGCUAGUGCAGCCGCUCCAUCAUCAACAGAUUCAAAAAGCAAACCUACAGGCAGAAGACCGGCUACAGCCACUGGUAAUCGAGCGUCCCCUGCCACUUCCAAGACCCCUCCCCUCCCUCCGCUGACUCCUUUCUAUAUAGAUUUGUCUUACAUACCCAACCAUGGAAAUCCCCAGUACAGCGACAUAGAAUUCUUCAAACGUAUCCGAGCCAGGUUCUACGUCCUAAGUUCCCUGUCUCCUAACUCACAAGUGCUGAACGCCCUCCUUGACGCCAAACAGACAUGGGAGGACAAGGACCUGAAGGUCACCAUCAUCCCUACAUACGACAAUGAUACCGUACGCCACUGGAUGGGACUCAACAAGGACCGCCUAUGUGAUCUCAACGUAGACGUCGCCCCGUCUGCCGCCAGGUGUACCAUCCAGCUACAGGAUCAUGAGACAAGCUGCUCCGCUUUCCGGCUGGAGUUCUGAAUGCAGAUGUGAGAGUGUGCAAGUCUGAGGGAUCAGCUAUAUGAAAAAGUUUGGUCGAUGAAGGAGCUCACUUUCAUUUCACUUUGUAAAGAUUGUGUAGUUAGUAACAAUGAUCAUGUGACUAGGGAAACAGUUCUGAUAUGUGUAAGUCAUGCGUUUCAAAAAACUGAAAGUGUCCUAAAGAAUCUGCAAGUUGUGUGAUUCUGACAGACAAGCAGUCAUAUAAUGGACUUUGCUUGGUCUUGAUACACCUAAACUCAAUUACAUCUUUGUAGAUGUUUCUCGCUUGUUGAUCGGCAGUUUGUUUGGUCCUAAGCUCUCUGUCUGUAUGUUCAAUGUGACUGUAGAUCUGACUGAGGUAAUCGUGGGCUGCUGUGGCCCUGAGCAUUGUUGUGUGAAUGUAUUCAGCCCAGGUUCCACUAUGGGACAAGCUAUAUGUAGGCCCCAAUUAUGUAUAGGUUAAAAAGUUGUUGGACCAUGUCGCUUGAUAAAGAAGACACCCAUACAUGACCUGGAAAGGACUCCUGGGGUUUCCAUUCAUGUUAUGGGGUCAGCAGGUCCUUUUGUGUACAUGCUAUGAGGCCAUUGUCUGUUGGGCUAGCUAUAGAAAUAAGGCCCAUCUGAUCACCUUUUAAAGGGGUCAGUAGGUCUUUGCAUUUGAGGGAUGGUCCAUGUGGUAUAUGCAUGGUAUGGGGCCUGCAAAGGGCUCUUAAGAUGCUAUCAUGUUUUGGGUUCUUGAAACACAAUAUGGGGCCAGAUUUUAGGGAUGAUAUAUGGUAUGGGGUGAAUUAUUUUGGGUUAUUUAUGACAUGAGGUCCAUAUGGGUAACUUGGAGAUGUUUGUUUCGCAAAAGUUGUAAAAGAAACGAUGUGGGGCCAAGUAAGUGUGAAGGAGACCUCUGCGUGUACCUAUAUCUGUGUGUUGGCUAGAGGUAUGAAGAUGUAUGUUUAGUGCUUGAGACUGUAGAGUAUCUGAGAAAGCUUGCAAUAUGUGCUUUAUGAGGUUAUUAUUUACAAACAUUUUUUUUUGUAUUGUAUUAAAUUAUUUUUUUUUCAUUCAUAUUCUAGCGUUAUUGUGACAAUUUUCAUACUUUGUAUUUAUUUCACGUAAUAAUGUCCAUGAAUGUUAAUUUUUAUAUUGGUAAAUCUGAUGUGUGUGGAAUAGAUAGCCAAGUAUUUAUAUGUGUUCAGUAGAAAUCACUCUUGUUCAAGACAAUCUAAUGGUUGUUCUUCUGAGGAGCACAAGUCAGGCGCACUAAUCAAUAACAGAAUUUUACCUUGUUUUCGUUUUAUUCCACACAUUUAAGAAUGAAGCGUUUUGUCAAAUUACCUGGUAAGUUAGGAUCCUCUAUUGAUUUCCAUGUCAAGUUUUAAGAUGUUCAGUAACCAAAUUUAUAUGUAUUAUAAUUGUGAUGAAUGAAUAUUUUGCUGUGAAAAUAAUUUUCAAUCAAUUUUUUCUUGUAUUUAUUAGUUUGUUGAUUUUUUUUCCAUGGUAGAUAAUCUAGUCAAAAUAUUUUGAGUGAUGUAAGGUCAUUAUUUGACUUAAAUGCUGUAACAAUUCUGUAAUGAUGUGAAAUCAUUAUUUGACAUAUAUCGUAACAAAUCUAUAAAAUCCAGAUAUAUGUAAUGGAACAUCAGUUAUAGAAGUUUCUGAAGUUCAUCUUAUUUGGAAUGCAGUACUAGAGAUACUUUGAUAGCUCCAGUCCAUACAGCUGUACAGUACAAUACCUGGGAGUUUCCCUUUGAUGGGUAUAACAGUAAACUUCAGCUCAGAAAAGGUUUCAGUAUCUUUGCUUAUGUUAACUAAUGGCGAAAUCAAAGGUAUAAAUAAUUAUUAUCUUAUUUAAAAAAAAAUAAAGGUGAAUAAAGUAAUUAAUUUAAAAUGUUUUGAACAUAGCAUCAUUCAUCCAAGGGGAGAUCAAUCUUGUUAGGUGGCUAUUCAACUUUAUCUCUUAAAAAAUGUCUUUAUUCUUGUAUGAAGAUCAAAAGGUGGCACUUUUCUCUUUCGUCAUCUGUGUUUUAGAAACUAUGAUUCUGACAUGGAAGGUUUCCAGCCCCUUGUUUGUUUGUGAUCAAAGACAUUCUCUGUAGAUCUUUAUGAUGAAAAUGAUAACACUUAUGUGAUGCUAAAAUGUUGGAUACUUGACACCUAUAAGGUAGCAUGUGUGUGAUGCUAUAGUUUGUAUGCUUGACACCUAUAAGAUUGCACUUGUGUGAUGCUAUAGUAAUGAUAGCACUUGUGUGAUGCUAUAGUGUUGCUAGCACUUGUGUGAUGCUAUAGUGAUGAUAGCACUUGUGUGAUGCUAUAGUGUUGCUAGCACUUGUGUGAUGCUAUAGUGUUGAUAGCACUUGUGUGAUGCUAUAGUUUGUAUGCUUGACACCUAUCACCUUAUUGUUCUGUUUAUUAUCAAAUCAUUUUCUUUGUAUUUACCUUGCUUUCAAACCGAACUACUAGAAUAUGUGUUGAUGAUUGUGGUGUAUAAAUGUAAAUGUAAUAUUGAUUAUUCAAGAACAUGUAUUACAGAGGUAUGUUUACCAGUAUCUGUUUAGAAAGUUCCCUCGGCACGUCAUCAGGUAUAAAACAAUGAGUAGUUGUAUGGGAGAAGGGGAAGGCUUAUACCUUGGAAACUCAUUUACUUGUAUACUUGGGAGUUUUGAGGAUACAUUUUGUAAUAUUUUCAUUAAUGCCAGGUUACCCUAGAAAAGGAAAUCAUUCACUUGAUAUACUUUGUAAUAAGUUAUCAUAGAUUGAAAAGAAUUUACUGUCUUGAUAAGGAAACUACAAGAUUCUCUGUAAGGGAUUCCCAAUGAUGUAGCUUGUGUACGUGAGGACAAGGAAAGGAACCACCAAAGUGUUCUUUACCUGUACAGUCUGUGUGUAAUGGUGAUGAGCAUGUAUUCAGACAAACGAAGGUAUGACACAAAAAACAGGUACGAAGAAACCAUACUGCUACAGGUGUUUCGUUAUUGUACAUUUUGUAAUUCCGUUGCCAGUUCGUUUUUUCUGUGUAUAUGUUCGGUUUAACCUGCAAGGUUUGCUGGGUACUGGGUUUUUUCUUGAUGUUCAUGGUUAAAAUGGAGCAGUGACUCCUGUUCUACGACAGAAACAGAUUUUCCCUGUGUAUUUGUAUCAAAUACCCAUGCAAGUGGCAUGUGUUCAUGAGUAUUUGUUUUUCACUUUUGAUCACAGCCCUGAGGACAUUGAUGGCAUUAUAGAACUGUACAACGCCAUGCCAGACUGAGAUGGGUGUACAGCGAGUUCCUUUCCCACAUCACCAAUGUAUGAACAUACUCAGUCAUGUCAAACUCAAAAAUACCACUGACUUAUGCGAAAUGAAAAAUUCAACAUUUAAAGUUGAUUUUUCACAAAUUUGUAAAAGGAACUUAAAAAAUGUUUCAUGUUAUGCAGAGAUCUAGUUAGCCAAAGGGAGAUAACCAAAUCAAAGGGACAUAACCAAGUAACUCAAGUAUGGAAGACCUUCCUACAUUUUGUACAUGUAUGUGUGUACGUAAACAGGCUUGGUAAUGGUCAUUAUUUUGUGUACAUGGAAUCUUUGUUAUUCAGAAUGUUAAACUUCUAUUUUAUCUCACACAUUUUUAAUAUUUUACACCAAGUUUGUACGCCAAGUUUGUACUGGUGAUCUUGUCCCAGCAACAUGUGUUAACUGUGUGACAUGGGCCGUUUUCGUUUAUCGCGGUCCAAACGGUAGAACCUGUUGGACACAGAGUUGUUCGUUUAUAUAAUAAGGUCGGACCCAGUGAUCUGAUGCUGCUUUUAGGCGAGCCUUGACCAAACUUUGCAAGGCCUGCAUAAACUUGUGCAGGUCCGCCAGGAUUUAUACCCGAAAAUGUUAAAUUUAAAAACAGACAUACUUGUUUUUCCCCAUAAACGAACAGGCCCAUGCAUAAUUUGUUUACUUUAUCUGGUUUGAUGGCUUGGACAUGGCAUUAUAUACUGUAACUGUGGUAUUUUCUUGUCUAUAACUUCAGUGAAGUUUUUUUCUAUUUUUACAAUUACACUUUGAAGUGUAUGAAUUGAGGAAGGAACACUGUGAACAUGCAUGGUUGUUCGUUUGUGCUGUUAUUUACACCUGGAAUAUUAACCAACCAUUUGUGCAGAGGACAAAGUUCAACACCAGACUUAUGUUUGAUUUACAUGGAAGUAUGCAAUAUUACAUUGACUUGUUCUACUGAAGCCUUUAUUUUAUGAGGUCAAUCUGAAGGCAGAGUUGUUCUAGUUUACUGUACAUUUGUCUUCACUUUACGUGGAACAGAUCUAUGAGUGCUUUCAACCUGAAACUUUCUAUAUAAUACUUUGAAUCAACAGUAAAAUACCUGCCAUAAUUGAUGUAAAGUAUUAUAAAGAUAUGCAUAUACUUAUAUAUAUAUAUUAUAUUAAACACUUAAUGGUAUGAAUGAUAUUGUGUUGUGCUAUUUCGUGAAAUGUUUAUGUAUUGAAAGUUUAUUUUGUCAAAUGUUCCUAUUUUUUUUGCCAUUUUGGCUUUUGUGAUUUUUGUAGACUCUGCCAUUUGGUCAUAUUGUGAGUAAAGGGAGAGAACUAGUUUGCAGAACAGUGAAAUAAUGAAACCAGCAACAUGACUGUUGGCAGACUGCCAUUGUAAAAAAUAAAAAGUAACAUAAUUGUCAGAAGACUGCCAAUAUAUUGAACUUAUGUAUGAAGUCACCAGCUAAUGAUAUUUUAUUAUAAAAGUUUUUAAAAUUUAGAGCACUUAAAGAAAUGAAAAAACAAUCAAUUUAACAGAAAACUGAUAGCAAUGGUUUUGCUUUCAAAGGCUAAAUGUCAGAUUCUUACCUUUACAGUGCUAACAGCUGAUUUUGUACUUGGAUAUUUCACUGUGCUUAUUUUACAGUAUGUUACACUGCCUUUCAUAUUGGAAUCGCCUGAUAAUGCCUCCAGUAGAAUGUGUUUUUCUGCCUUUUUUGUCCCACUUUUUUAUUAUCAGUAGUUAUAUCUCCCCUUUCUACUUGCUGAUGAUGUGGCAUGUUGAGUUCCAAUAUUGUGUGUUGAAAUGAAUAUUCCCUUGUACAUGUUUCCAAGUGGCAAAAAAAUAAAAGAAUGCCUUCAGUAAAGUUAAAUUUAAACGAC
rnacentral:misc_RNA from 1 species